rnacentral:piRNA from 1 species
UAGGUGAGAGCUCCUUGUUUGUUAGGGGGA